rnacentral:rRNA from 1 species
AGAGUUUGAUCCUGGCUCAGGAUGAACGCUAGCGACAGGCUUAACACAUGCAAGUCGAGGGGCAGCAUGAUUUGUAGCAAUACAGAUUGAUGGCGACCGGCGCACGGGUGAGUAACGCGUAUGCAACUUACCUAUCAGAGGGGGAUAGCCCGGCGAAAGUCGGAUUAAUACCCCAUAAAACAGGGGUCCCGCAUGGGAAUAUUUGUUAAAGAUUCAUCGCUGAUAGAUAGGCAUGCGUUCCAUUAGGCAGUUGGCGGGGUAACGGCCCACCAAACCGACGAUGGAUAGGGGUUCUGAGAGGAAGGUCCCCCACAUUGGUACUGAGACACGGACCAAACUCCUACGGGAGGCAGCAGUGAGGAAUAUUGGUCAAUGGCCGAGAGGCUGAACCAGCCAAGUCGCGUGAAGGAAGAAGGAUCUAUGGUUUGUAAACUUCUUUUAUAGGGGAAUAAAGUGGAGGACGUGUCCUUUUUUGUAUGUACCCUAUGAAUAAGCAUCGGCUAACUCCGUGCCAGCAGCCGCGGUAAUACGGAGGAUGCGAGCGUUAUCCGGAUUUAUUGGGUUUAAAGGGAGCGCAGACGGGUCGUUAAGUCAGCUGUGAAAGUUUGGGGCUCAACCUUAAAAUUGCAGUUGAUACUGGCGUCCUUGAGUGCGGUUGAGGUGUGCGGAAUUCGUGGUGUAGCGGUGAAAUGCUUAGAUAUCACGAAGAACUCCGAUUGCGAAGGCAGCACACUAAUCCGUAACUGACGUUCAUGCUCGAAAGUGUGGGUAUCAAACAGGAUUAGAUACCCUGGUAGUCCACACGGUAAACGAUGGAUACUCGCUGUUGGCGAUAUACUGUCAGCGGCUUAGCGAAAGCGUUAAGUAUCCCACCUGGGGAGUACGCCGGCAACGGUGAAACUCAAAGGAAUUGACGGGGGCCCGCACAAGCGGAGGAACAUGUGGUUUAAUUCGAUGAUACGCGAGGAACCUUACCCGGGCUUAAAUUGCAAAGGAAUAAUCUGGAAACAGAUUAGUCUUCGGACCUUUGUGAAGGUGCUGCAUGGUUGUCGUCAGCUCGUGCCGUGAGGUGUCGGCUUAAGU